UGAAAUACGUAAAUAAACUACCCUUUAAAACGUGACGGUUUAUGGGGCAAGUGAGCUAGAGCUCACCUGUUUUUGUGACCUCGGCAUAUGAAGGGAUAAGGUGAUAAGCACGAUGACCAGCGAUCUCUGACGUGAUUUAGGUACCCAUCAGAGCUGGAAAGAUUCGUUUAUAUUACACUGUAUUGAAUCCGGAUUCGAACACUUGACUUUCGAGUUAGCAGUCUAGCACACUACCAUUAGGGUCAUUGAAAUUGAAGACGUCAUAAAUGGAUGACCCCUAAAUUAACCUUAAACUUUAUGAGAUCAGUCUUCGUAAAAAAGUAACUUAAGCGGAUGACCUUGAGUUUACAUACAUCUUUGUUCUCAGCGAGUCUUCAUCCCGUCAUAAAUACUGUUUCUACUUUCUUCUUUUAUAGUUUAUGUCAGAUUCUACAACAGCUUUAUCUCCACACAAACGAAAAUCUAAACUGCGAAAAGUUUAAAAUUUAAUUUGAAUACGGUAUACAUUCACACAUUUUGAUAAUUUAAUUUCCUGCGAUUGUCAUUUUUGGAUUAUAUUAUAUUUUUUUUUAUGUUUUGCUUAAAAUUGAAUAGAAAUCAGUGUCUACUUGCUUGUUAAAAUACGUGAAAAAAUCAAUGGCAUUUCUAAAUUUAGAAAUAUUAGGGUUUGUUUUAGAAACAGCUGUGGAUUACUUAGGUAAAGCUUCUACGGUUGCUACUACAAUUGCUAUAUUUUACCCUCCUGCUGCACCAGUUGCUGGUGUGUUAAAACUAGCAACAGGAAGCUGCUCAUUAGUUUUUAAAAUCCACAAGGGUGAAGAUAUGUUGAGUAUAAGCAAGACAGUAGCCGAGCUUUUAUUACCACGCGCAUUAACAGCACUCAAAGGAAAACCAAUUUUAGAAUCUAUCGUGAAAUGCGGUAAAAUAAUAAAAAGCUGUAAUUCGGCAAAAAAUAUUUGCAUUGUCAUCUAUCAAGGAGAUCGCAACAUAUUCAAUGUCUUAAUAUUACUAAACAUCAAUCACGGUAUUUAUAAAGGGAUUGCCGAUUUCAAAAAGUGUGAAUCUUCAAAUGACAAAGCGCAAUCAAUUUCAUUGAAAAAAGAAGGUGAAACAUGCCCUAAAGAUGAUGAAAAGAAAUAGUGUCCCCAUGAUUGAUUUAAUAUAUCAAUUAGAUUUUUUGAGAAGUCCACUUGCAAUAUGCUUGCUAAUUCAACUUUUAAAAAAAGGUUAUCAUUAUAUCAUUAUAUGCUGGUUGUUUGAGUGUGAACUGCAUUCUCUUACCAGUUUGUUGUUUUAAAAGAUAUAUUUUAAAAUUAAUCAUUUAACUGUUAAUAAACAUAUGAACGUGAUUUCAGGUUUUGCAACACAUUGUAUUUUAAAUUAGUUUUGAGGCUGAACCAAAAGUAAUAACAUUGUUGGGGUAUAUGAAUUUGAUAUGUUUAUCUUACAUGAGUGAAUUUUAUUCAUUUAUAUUUUUACUAUCUCGUAUACAGAAUAUAAAGACAAUAUUUGAAAAGCGCAAAGAAAAUUUAAAACUUAAAAUCUUUAUCUAAAAGAAGAAAAGGGGGCUUUCUGUUUCUUUAAGUUUCGAUGUUUAUACCUCGUAUGUUGGAAUGAUUAGUAUGUACGUAAUGUAUACAUGUAGACUAGUAAUAUUUCAUACUUCUACAUAUAUUAUAGAUCUUUAUGGUAAAUUAUAAUCAGGAGAUAUAAAACAGUAAGCCACUAAGCCUAUUAUAAGCACAUGGAGCUCAUUUAUAUUUAUGAAUUUUACACUACAGUGUAGGCCAGUCAUAACAUUCUAGUAGGCUACAAUCAUACUAGUAUGACUAGCAGUAGUGUACUGAAUGGCUAGGCUUUUGUUUUCAAAAUAUUUUCAUGAGGCUCAUUGUAUUUUUGUUUUGGGAGCUUCCAGCAAAAGACAGUUCAGUCCAACGACUUUACCACACCAUUAAGACCACAGACAAGAGUGUCAUUAAGGAAUAAGGGAGUAGAACAUGUCGGGACCUUUUUCUGUGUUCUGUACAGUAAAAUGAAGAUCUAAGACGUGUUCCCAUUGAAUACCAUGUCGAAAACCAUAAAGAAAAUAUACUUUUGUGUGUGUUUUUGUAUGACAAUUAUAAAAAUAAUUACUAUAAUGAUUGCCAUGGACUUAGCUAAAACCUGUUACAGUUCCUUACUGUUUUGUAAUUUUUUUUUAUUUUUUGGAAAAGAAUGUUUUACAUUCCUGACGGUUCUUAUCAGUACCAAUACAUAUUUGAGACAAUAAAAAUUAACAAAACAUUAUAUUUUCUUCGACGUACAUUUUAAGUAUCCCGAAAGCAAUAUAAUAACACAUUGUUAAAGACAAAACUUCAUUCAGAACUUAAUUCCGUAAAUAAAGGGUUAACGCACACACGAAGGCAAACAUAAUCAUCAGCUCAAAUAUCAACAUAAUAGAAUAUAUAUAAAUACAUAAGGACAAACGUAAACACAACCCCGAUUGAAAACAAUAACAAAACAAUUGACAAAAGCAAAUGUAAUCGCGAACAUAAACAUAAAGCUAAAUGCAAACAUAAACGCAAACAAUAAUGAAAAAGGAAACACAAACGACAAAAAGAAUCAAAUGAUAAAAACAUAAAAUCAAACAUAAACAAAAUAAACGAUCUCCCCUAAACUUUCUCGAAUAUUCUUUAUAAAAAAACAGGGGAUGGGAA